UUUAAUGGAAAUUAAUAGAACGAAUGAUUAUUACUGGAUUACAAAGUAUCCAUUGCUGGGAAUUCAAAUUUGAUUUCCUUCCAGACUUCACAAGCAGCAGCUAAUUCAGGACUCCAUUUGCAAGCUUCACGGAUAAUUGCAUUACCCUCGCGAGCAAGAUCACGUCCCUCAUUCCGAGCUUGUACACAUGCUUCCAGAGCUACUCGAUUCGCUACGGCACCAGGUGCAUUUCCCCAAGGGUGUCCUAAAGUUCCUCCACCGAAUUGGAGUACAGAAUCAUCUCCAAAUAUCUCGGUCAGAGCAGGCAUAUGCCAAACGUGAAUACCCCCUGAAGCAACAGGGAUAACACCUGGUAAAGAAACCCAAUCCUGAGUGAAAUAAAUACCGCGACUUCUAUCUUUUUUAAUAUAAUCAUCACGUAGUAAAUCAACAAAACCUAAAGUAAUCUCCCUUUCUCCUUCAAGUUUACCUACUACAGUACCAGCGUGAAUAUGAUCUCCACCAGACAAACGUAAGGCUUUANUAGAAUCAAAAUGAAGGACCAACUUAUUUAGGGACAGUAGUUAUUUGUGUAUUACUAUAGUUUUAAAUUAUUAUUAUUUUUUUACAUAUUUUUCAUAUUUCUAUUUCACUUUGAAUAAAAAAAAAACUUCUUGUUUGUAUCAAACAAAAUACAACGAAUCCACCAUUAAGAUUAAGUAAAAAAACCUAUCUGACAUGAGUCAAUCGAUCCAUUUAUUCACGAUCAGAUUAUAUUUGUUUGAUACACUAUUGUCAAUAUUAGUGUUGAAUAUAAAAAACAAGUAUUGUGUAUAGUAUUCGGCUCAAUCCUUUUAGUAAAAGAUUGGGCCGAGUUUAAUGGAAAUUAAUAGAAUGAAUGAUUAUUACUGGAUUACAAAGUAUCCAUUGAUGGGAAUUCAAAUUUGAUUUCCUUCCAGACUUCACAAGCAGCAGCUAAUUCAGGACUCCAUUUGCAAGCUUCACGGAUAAUUGCAUUACCCUCGCGAGCAAGAUCACGUCCCUCAUUCUGAGCUUGUACACAUGCUUCCAGAGCUACUCGAUUCGCUACGGCACCAGGUGCAUUUCCCCAAGGGUGUCCUAAAGUUCC
rnacentral:lncRNA from 1 species